CCUACGGGGGGCAGCAGUGAGGAAUAUUGGUCAAUGGCCGGAAGGCUGAACCAGCCAAGCCGCGUGAAGGACGAAGGUGUCAAGCAUUGUAAACUUCUUUUGUCAAGGGACAAAAUCAGGCUCGAGAGCCUGACCGAGGGUACUUGAAGAAAAAGCAUGGGCUAACUCCGUGCCAGCAGCCGCGUGAAUACGGAGGAAGCGAGCGUUAUACGGAUUUAUUGGGUGUAAGGGGUGCGUAGGCGGAAGGUUAAGACAGCGGUAAAAGCCCGGGGCUCAACCCCGGCGAGCCUUUGAAACUGGGUUUCUUGAGAUGUCGAGAGGUAUGCGGAAUGCGCAGUGUAGCGGUGAAAUGCUUAGCUAUUGCGCAGAACUCCGAUUGCGAAGGCAGCAUCCCGGCGGCGAUCUGACGCUGCGGCACGAAAGCGUGGGUAUCGAACAGGAUUAGAUACCCGAGUAGUC
rnacentral:rRNA from 1 species